CCCAAAUGAAGCAAACUACUGAAUCUUCAAGAGUUGAGAAAAGGGGUCACUCACAAAAGUAAUCCACCCAAAAAUUAUUGAAGACAUUGAACACUCAUAGACUGGUAUAUGGAAAAGGGAAAAGCUCAGAAUUGGACUGAUAUUAUACUUCUGGCAUAAUGAACUGAAUUUUAAGGCUAUGUAGUUACUAUACAUUAAGAUGCUUUUAUGGCACCUGUGCAGAGAGACUAAGAAACAUUUAGAGGUGGAUCCCUGCAAAAGACACAGUGCUGAGGUACCAAAGGAGUGUCAGGUAGGAGGAUUAAUCAAGGUCAGGAGUAUAUUACAUCUUAGACUUAUGCAAGGGUGCCUUCUAGGUUGAUUAUCUCAGAGUGGUGAAGACAUGAACAUUUGUUUGAACAGUGACUCACUCGCUAUUGAAUAUGGAAUUCAACAGAAUCUGGACAAGCUUUUUAGAAAUAUACCUGUCAAGGUCCAGAACAGAAAACUAAUGUAGACAAUAUAAUCCUUCAAAAAUUUUUGUUCUGCAGGUUACAGAGAAAGACGUGGAGCAGAUUACAUUUGUAUAACUCAGCUGAGCUUUCUUGAAAGGUGUAAGGAAACAACAGAGCAAAAUAAUCACAUGGCCCACAGUUUUAGCAAUAUCAUGUUACAGAAAUAAAUUUCUAUGUUUGCCACUCGAGUAUCUCUAAUCACAAGACAUCAAAAAAUCAAAUUUUUAAGGAAAGGCAAUGUUUUGGGAGAGUUGCUCGUUAUAGGAUAAAAUGGUUUUCUCUGGGUAUACAAAAGCAAGGACAGGGUUUGGAAGCCCCAGCAGCUGCUCCAGAUCAAGAUUCACUGAGGCUGAUUCUCCAUCGGAGACAAGUGCUCUUGCCACAAGAUAUCUGGAUUAUUCUACAAUGAGUAUCAGCUCUUAGCAAUUAAAACUCAAGCUACCCUCAUGAGCCCACGAACUCCAGACCAGUUUGUCUUCUUCCUCUACUGCAACUCCCAGAAAUAAGCUUGAGUCUCGCUCUGUCAUCCAGGCUGGAGCACAGUGGCGCAAUCUCAGCUCAUUCAACCUCCACCUCCUCGGGUUCCAGCAAUUCUCUUGCCUCAGCCUCCGGAGUAGCUGGAACUACAGGUGCCCACCAUCACGCCUGGCUAAUUUAUUGUGUGUUUGCAAGUAUUAGUCCUUGGGCAUGGAUGAUGCUUCUCAACCCAGACUGCCCCCCCAAAUGCUGGCACUGCACAGACAAAAGCUCGCCUUAUGAUUAAAUAGCUUUGAGAAUUCAUAGACCUACAUAGUCAUUCAAGUAUUUAAGGAGUAGAGUAGGCUCUAGAGCUAUAAUUGUGAACAAGACAGGAUAUAUACUGUUUUGUUUUAAGACGGAGUCUCGCUCUGUUCGCAGGCUGGAGUGCAGUGGCGUGAUCUCGGCUCACUGCAAUUUCCGCCUCCUGGUUUCAAGCAAUUCUGCCUCAGCCACCCGAGUAGCUGGGACUACAGGCGCACGCCACUACACCCAGCUAAUUUUUGUAUUUUUAGUAGAGACAGGGUUUCACCACGUUGACCAGGAUAGGCUCGAUCUCUUGACCUCAUGAUCCGCCUGCCUCAGCUCCCAAAGUGCUGGGAUUACAGGCUUGAGCCACCAUGCCCGGCCAGAUACAUACUGUUGUAAUGGACUCCAGUGGAGAAAGAAAUCAGUAUCUAAGCAAAAACAAAACAAAACAAAACUGCUAAAUGGUGAUAAGUCUACAGAAUUAAACACUGGUCUGAGAGCACAAACAAUGGGCUUCAUGAAUUAGGGUAACCACAGAAAACUUAUCAGAACAGGACACUUAAGCAAAAAGGGAGAACAAGAGAAAGAAUUGCAAAUGGAAGAAACAGUAUGUGCAUGACUUGGGGUGAUUCCAAGAGGAAAAUAAUCUCAGAAGAUGCACUCAUUAAGCACUGGUGCCUACAAUACCACAAUUAGGGUUUCCAGGUUUUCUUUUUCAUGCCUAACUCACUGGAAAUGAUAAUCUAUAAAACUAUUUUGAAUAAUAUUUUGAAACUAUAAGACAGUUUUAAAAAUUAAUAAUGUAGAAUUAGGGUGGAAAUGUGGCUCUGAUGUUUCAAAAAGAGGACAGGUCUUGGAGUCAAGUUCAGGGAUUUUAUUUAACUGUGACAUUCAUAUGUUGACAAUACCAAUUAAUACAUAUAAUUAAUAACAAAUCAUUUGUCUCAAAGUCAAUAUCCUCAACUAUGAAACAAGGUAAUUAUAUAAUCUGAUAAGGU
rnacentral:lncRNA from 13 species